rnacentral:snoRNA from 1 species
CAGUCUCUUGCCUCGCUCAAUCCGCAGCCCCCAUCCGCAGAUUUCGAGCUGGAUACACACUGCUCUUCUCUCUCGGGAGAAGAGCAGACAGUGUACGAGACAAGAGGAACAUUUUGACGAUCUUUGAGUACGGGGCCGACGUGAUGCCAUGUGUCGGUCUAUCGUAAUUUAUCUGUCAAGACAUAC